GACGAACGCUGGCGGCGUGCUUAACACAUGCAAGUCGAACGGAAAGGUCCUGCUUUUGUGGGGUGCUCGAGUGGCGAACGGGUGAGUAACACGUGAGUAACCUGCCCUUGACUUUGGGAUAACUUCAGGAAACUGGGGCUAAUACCGGAUAGGAGCUCCUGCUGCAUGGUGGGGGUUGGAAAGUUUCGGCGGUUGGGGAUGGACUCGCAGCUUAUCAGCUUGUUGGUGGGGUAGUGGCUUACCAAGGCUUUGACGGCUAGCCGGCCUGGGAGGGUGACCGGCGACAUUGGGACUGAGAGACGGCCCAGACUCCUACGGUAGGCAGCAGUGGGAAAUAUUGCACAAUGGGCGGAAGCCUGAUGCAGCAACGCCGCGUGCGGGAAGACGGCCUUCGGGUUGUAAACCGCUUUCGCCUGUGACGAAGCGUGAGUGACGGUAAUGGGUAAAGAAGCACCGGCUAACUACGUG
rnacentral:rRNA from 1 species